rnacentral:lncRNA from 13 species
UUUGUCAAAAACAUAUGCUUCAGCCUGUGUUUUCUCUGUACCAUCAAUGUUUGGAUUCUCUAGAAACCCAACCCCAGGGUAUCCCUCCCCAUCUGUCUUUUUGCCCUCAUCACAGGCUUGGGAGCAGAUCCACACCACUACAGCUGUGACUUGGAAGGAACACAGCCAUCAUUAAUAUCACAACAGUCCCUGCAAUUCUAUAGCACAGUGUUGAUUUCAUUGCACCACAGGGUAGCUCUAGGAGGCAGGGCAGGAUUCGUGCUCAUUUUAUAAACAAAAAUGCUGUGGUACAGGGCUGGACCUAGGCCCUAUGGAGGAUAGUAAUAUGGUUUGGAUGUUUGUCCACUCCAAAUCUCAUGUUGAAAUGCGAUUCCCAGUGUUGGGGUGGGACUUGGUGGGAGGUGAUUGGAUCACAGGAUGGAUUCCUCAUAAAUGGCUUAGCACCGUCCCCUUAGCACCAUCCCCUUGGUGAUGGGAGAGUUUUUGCUCUGAGUUUACAUGAGAUCUGCUUGUUUAAAAGUAUGUGGCACCUCCUCUACCUUCUUGCUCCCGCUUCCACCAGGUAAGACAUGUCUGCUCCUGUGUCACCUUCCACGGUGAGUAAAAGCUCCCUGAGGCCUCCCCAGAAGCCGAGCAGAUGCUGGUACUAUGCUUCCUGUACAGCCUGCAGAAACGGUGACCAGCCACCUCUGCAGGCAUGGGCAGGCUGGGCUGUGAGCAGAUCUGCUUCUGAGCCCCCACCAGGCUUCUGGGAGAAGUUUCCGUGGAGGCAACAGACAUCAGAUGGAGGCCCCGUCGCCAGCAUUUCCUUGGUUGCUCAGGCCCUCUCAGAGCUGCUGUCAGGUCAGAUCCUGGAAACUCUGAGUGGUUUCCCAGCUGAGGCCUUUGAGUGCUGCUAAUUCAUUCUGCCCUGUUUCCUCUGGGGGAGCUGAGCAAAGGGAUGGAUUAAUCACUUUCCUCCUCUCUUCCUCCAUGGGGUUCUUCUUAGAAGGGGUGGAUUGGUCAGCUCUGGACAGGAAGGGUGGUGAGGGAGGACAAGGCCAACUAUUUCACCUCCCACUCUCUUCUCCGAGGGCCCUAAGAAGUGGCUGGGGAGGGGACAUCCAGGACCUGCGGUGCUUCCAGGACAGAGGCUUCAGGCUGCCAUGGUUGCCCUGGGGUUGGCUGGAGCCAGGACCUCUCCGGAGAGGCACAGAGGGAACUUUAGGGGAAGCCACAUUUACAUCCAGGUGAAAUCUGUUAGGCUGAUGGUCAAAGAGGUAGGAAGGAAGCCAGAGAGGAAGUGAGAGAUCUAGUUAUGUUGCUUACUUCCCUGGUCAGUGGCUUCUAUUGCCUUGAGGAUAAGGUCUCCAAUCUUACAGGCCUGACCUACCUGACCAGGCUGCACACCUGCCUUGAUGUGUAAGGGCCCCUGUGCCACAAGCUCAGCUCCAUGCCUCUUCUUGAUGCUCCUUCUGCCUCGGGCCUUUGCACAUUGUUGCUCUUCUCUGACCCUUUACCUGAUGCAACUCCUCCUCAAGCUUCAGGCCUUGGGUGAAAGUCACUCUGGGAGAAGCCAUCCUUGACAUUCCUCCCCAGCCCCGGUCCAGACCAGACGAGUCUAUUUGCUCUUCCCCUUACUGCGUAUACUCCUUGAUGUCUCCUUCAGGGUCUAAGCACAGUUGUAACUCUUAAUUUAGUGACCAUCAUUCCUUUUGUAAGAGGACACUAGCGAUGUCUGCCUGAUUCAUCAUGACAUUACCAGCCCAAGACAGAGACAUAGUAGAUAUUUUUAAAUGUGUGGUAAAUGAUAGAUGGGCAUUUUGGCCCACCCAUUUUAACAGGUGCGUUGAAGAUGGCAGAAGUUACAGGGAAACAGCAUAUGGCUUCACCUUUGGAAGAUCUUUCUAGUACAGUUGG